rnacentral:lncRNA from 1 species
GUUAGCCAUAGUCGAUCACAUGAGUUUGGCAUUAGGAGACUGUAAUUUAGCUAUCAUUUGGUGUGUUAAUUUAGAAGCAAACAUGUUUAGUACUUAAACCACAUUAUUUUAUAUCUUCAUAUGUUUAAUAAUCUGUACGUUAAUCUAACAAAAUACUCGAUGAAAGUAUGAAGCAUAUCUUAUCUUGGAAAAAAAAAAAAAAAAAAAAAAAAAGUGGACUAUCUGUAAAAAAAAAAAGACUGAAAAUAGACAUCCAUAUAGCAUGCCCAAAGUUGGACAACUGA